rnacentral:lncRNA from 1 species
CGCCACCCCGUCUGGGAAGUGAGGAGUGUCUCUGCCUGGCCGCCCAUCGUCUGGGAUGUGAGGAGCCCCUCUGCCCGGCCGCCCAGUCUGGGAAGUGAGGAGCGUCUCCGCCCGGCCGCCAUCCCAUCUAGGAAGUGAGGAGCGCCUCUUCCCAGCCGCCAUCACAUCUAGGAAGUGAGGAGCGUCUCUGCCCGGCCGCCCAUCGUCUGAGAUGUGGGGAGCGCCUCUGCCCCACCGCCCCAUCUGGGAUGUGAGGAGCGUCUCUGCCCGGCCGCCCCGUCUGAGAAGUGAGGAGACCCUCUGCCUGGCAACCACCCCGUCUGAGAAGUGAGGAGCCCCUCCGCCCGGCAGCUGCCCCAUCUGAGAAGUGAGGAGCCUCUCCGCCCAGCAGCCACCCCAUCUGGGAAGUGAGGAGCAUCUCCGCCCGGCAGCCACCCCGUCCGGGAGGGAGGUGAGGGGGGGUCAGCCCCCCGCCCGGCCAGCCGCCCCAUCCGGGAGGGAGGUGGGGGGUCAGCCCCCCGCCCGGCCAGCCGUGCCAUCCGGGAGGGAGGUGGGGGGGUCAGCCCCCCGCCCGGCCAGCCGCCCGGUCCGGGAGGUGAGGGGCGCCUCUGCCCGGCCGCCCCUACUGGGAAGUGAGGAGCCCCUCUGCCCGGCCAGCCGCCCCGUCCGGGAGGGAGGUGGGGGGGUCAGCCCUCCGCCCGGCCAGCCGCCCCGUCUGGG